ACGGGAGGCAGCAGUGGGGAAUAUUGGACAAUGGAGGCAACUCUGAUCCAGCGACGCCGCGUGAGUGAAGAAGUAUUUCGGUAUGUAAAGCUCUAUCAGCAGGGAAGAUGAUGACGGUACCUGACUAAGAAGCCCCGGCUAACUACGUGCCAGCAGCCGCGGUAAUACGUAGGGGGCAAGCGUUAUCCGGAUUUACUGGGUGUAAAGGGAGCGUAGACGGUAAGGCAAGUCUGAAGUGAAAUGCAUGGGCUCAACCCAUGAACUGCUUUGGAAACUGUCAAACUAGAGUGCAGGAGAGGUAAGUGGAAUUCCUAGUGUAGCGGUGAAAUGCGUAGAUAUUAGGAGGAACACCAGUGGCGAAGGCGGCUUACUGGACUGUAACUGACGUUGAGGCUCGAAAGCGUGGGGAGCAAACAGGAUUAGAUACCCUGGUA
rnacentral:rRNA from 1 species